rnacentral:rRNA from 1 species
AUUGAACGCUGGCGGCAGGCUUAACACAUGCAAGUCGAGCGGGGUGAUGGUGCUUGCACUAUCACUUAGCGGCGGACGGGUGAGUAAUGCUUAGGAAUCUGCCUAUUAGUGGGGGACAACAUCUCGAAAGGGAUGCCAAUACCGCAUACGCCCUACGGGAGAAAGCAGGGGAUCACUUGUGACCUUGCGCUAAUAGAUGAGCCUAAGUCGGAUUAGCUAGUUGGUGGGGUAAAGGCCUACCAAGGCGACGAUCUGUAGCGGGUCUGAGAGGAUGAUCCGCCACACUGGGACUGAGACACGGCCCAGACUCCUACGGGAGGCAGCAGUGGGGAAUAUUGGACAAUGGGGGGAACCCUGAUCCAGCCAUGCCGCGUGUGUGAAGAAGGCCUUAUGGUUGUAAAGCACUUUAAGCGAGGAGGAGGCUCUUUAGGUUAAUACCCAAGAUGAGUGGACGUUACUCGCAGAAUAAGCACCGGCUAACUCUGUGCCAGCCGCCGCGGUAA